CAGUAGCCGCGGUAAGACGGAGGGUGCUAGCGUUGUUCGGAAUCACUGGGCGUAAAGGGCGCGUAGGCGGCCUGUUAAGUCGGAUGUGAAAGCCCGGGGCUCAACCCCGGAACUGCAUCCGAGACUGGCAGGCUUGAGACCGGGAGAGGAGGGUGGAAUAUCCAGUGUAGAGGUGAAAUUCGUAGAUAUUGGAUGGAACACCGGUGGCGAAAGCGGCUCUCUGGCCCGGAUCUGACGCUGAGGCGCGAAAGCGUGGGGAGCAAACAGGAUUAGAUACCCGUGUAGUCCCUGUCUCUUAUAC
rnacentral:rRNA from 1 species